AUGGAACCUCCAAAGAGUUUUCAGCCUGGAUUUUUACAAUCACAACUCAAUGCCCUUAGAAACCCUUAGAAAGAAAAAAAAUAAUUCGGGUGAGUCUUCGUCGCAUACUCAAGUGGAGGAUAUCCCUGAGGAGCAAAAUGUUGGUAGAGCCCACACGACCAUCCACUAAUGAGCGGAAUUUCACUAAUGAUGAUGUGCAAAAUCUAGUUAAGCCCACACAAUUGACGGAUGAAGGCACACAUAUAAAGUCUUCAAACUCCUAGAGAAAGCGAGUUAGCAACAAAAACUUUAAAUUGGCCAAAUUGACGGUUAAUGGAGAAAAGGUGCAUGUCACAUUUAGCCCAAUUGAAAGAAAGUCAUGUUGCAAAAAUAGGGGCAUGUGGAAUUGGAAUUUGGGGGCCAUUGUUCGAGAGAAUAAUAUUAUUCCACAUUGCACGGUCCAUUGGCGCCACCUCACCUCCACCACCUUGAAUACUCUAUGGCAAUCUAUUAUUGAUAAAUUUGAUUUAGAUGAUAUUGAGAGUUAUCGAGACGACGCCUUGAGACACAUGAAAGCGAGGUGGGAGGAUUGGAGGUACGACAUAUCUCUCACUAGGAUAAGGAAACACGAAGGAAAUGUGGAAGCAAUCAAGGCAGAUAAGCCUGAUGAAAUGACCCAACAAGAUUAGGAGUUAUUUCGUUAAAACCAUUACUUUACCGACAAAUUCUAGGUUCUUCUUUCACAUUUUGUACUUAAUAUAACAUUUUGAUUCUAACAUUAUAUAUUAAUUGCAGAAACGAAGUGCUACCAUCAUAGAAAACAAAAAAAAUCAAAAUAUGCACAUCAUUUUGGUAGAAAAUCUUUUACACAACUGCAACGAGAAAUGAAAGUUCAAGAAGGAUCAGUUCCAAACUAUGAAGAUUUGUUUUUGGCAACUAGGACCAAAAAUGAUAAAACUGUUGAUCCACACAUACUAGAGAAAGUGGAUGAAUUAAGACAAUUGCGAGCUGAACGUCCCGACAUUUCUGAUGUCGAUUUGGCUGAAGGAGUUUUUAGUCCUCAAGACAAAGACAAGGGAAAGAGUAUAAGAAUGAUAUCAAUUUUAGCUUCCAAAGUUAGAGGACUUGUAAUGUCCAAAAAAGAACUACGUCGAGAGAAUAUGACAAUGCAAAUAAAAUCGAUGAUAUGAAUAACAGAAUGGGAGAGAAAAUGGAAGAGAGGUUAAGGAUGGAGAAGGCUCAAAUGGAAGCUAAUAUGGAAGAGAGAUUGAGGAUGGAGAGAGCCGAGAUGAUGCGUUUUAUGUCACAGUUUAUACCCGGCGGUGCAUCGAUAGAUCCUACUUUAUUUUCCUAGUUUACUAAUCUUGGCAGUCAAUCAUCGGGUCAAGGGUCAUUAACCACAAUUCUACCUAUGUAGCCCCAACAAGACGACAAUAAUUCUAGGGAAGACACGAGUUAAGUAAGAACUUUUGUUAUAUAAUUUUGGUUAGAUUUCAAAUAUUUGUGUAAUACUACUUUGAUUUUAAAUGUUAGUAUUUGUGUUAAGAACUUCUUUUGUUAUGAUCUUGGUAAU